rnacentral:misc_RNA from 1 species
UAAAGGCUUAGUUGAGUUGAGUUCUAUUGUUUGGAACAAUUGAUAAAUGAAGUGAAUGUACUAAUUUGUGUAUUUCAUCCUUACUGAAUUCUUGCAAGAUCACUUGACAUGAAUUCAUUUCCUUCAAAAUGACUUACUAAAAAUUGAAUUCUAGAAAUUGUAAACUUUCCAAACAUGAGAAUUGAUCAAAUAGAAUAGAAAAUGUUUCAUCUUUAGGCUUUGCGAACACACACAUUGCAUGUAUUACUUGAAUGUAAGGGACAUUAAGUCCCAACAGAAUAGGUACAGUACAUGAAAAGGGUAAGGCAUGAAUUCUCUAUUCAAGAAACAAUAAUUAAAAAUAAAAUAAAAGAGGAAGUUCUAAAGACAAAGUAACCCACUUUGAUAUUGUUCACCUGUCCUCAUGCAACUUCGGUGAAGAAUUGCAAUAGCAUACUAAGCUUUGUUAAUAAACUUUCCAAUCUUUUGAUUUUAGAGUUAAUAAACUUCCUAAUCUAAUAAUCCAAAAAAAAAGUAAAAAAAAAA